GACAGAGGUGCCGAGCGUUAGGCGGAAUCACUGGGCUUAAAGCGUGUGUAGGCGGACCGUUAAGUACCUUGUGAAAUCCCCCCGGCUCAACCGGGGAACGGCUGGGUAUACUGGCGGUCUUGAGCCAUCCAGGGGCAGUCGGAACAGACGGUGGAGCGGUGAAAUGCGUAGAUAUCGUCUGGAACGCCGAAGGUGAAAACAGACUGCUGGGGAUGCGCUGACGCUGAGACACGAAAGCCAGGGGAGCGGAACGGG
rnacentral:rRNA from 1 species